ACUUAGCAGAGAUGCUUUGGUGCCUUCGGGAACUCUGAGACAGGUGCUGCAUGGCUGUCGUCAGCUCGUGUCGUGAGAUGUUGGGUUAAGUCCCGCAACGAGCGCAACCCCCGUCCUUAGUUGCUACCAUUUAGUUGAGCACUCUAAGGAGACUGCCGGUGAUAAGCCGCGAGGAAGGUGGGGAUGACGUCAAGUCCUCAUGGCCCUUACGGGCUGGGCUACACACGUGCUACAAUGGCGGUGACAAUGGGAUGCUAAGGGGCGACCCUUCGCAAAUCUCAAAAAGCCGUCUCAGUUCGGAUUGGGCUCUGCAACUCGAGCCCAUGAAGUUGGAAUCGCUAGUAAUCGUGGAUCAGCACGCCACGGUGAAUACGUUCCCGGGC
rnacentral:rRNA from 1 species